UCUCCAAAUAGAUGUAUUAACACCGAUAGUGAUUCAACCAUCCCAACCGAAACAGCCACUAUGUCAGCGCCAGUCACCAAUAUUUCACAGCAGCAGCAGCAAAUUGAGACUCCACCAUCCGGUCGGUUGCAAUAACGUUCUAACGACGGUUCUGCCACAGGGUUUGACGUUAAUUCAGCAACCGCAAUUAGAUGACCAUUGGCUGAUAGCAGCAGCAACAACCACAAAAUAGAAUUAUCAUCACCCAGAUUCCGCAACAGUAGAUAUAGCAACGCCACACAAUAGCAAGGUGCUUUUUCUUUCGAACAAACAUUCGAUGCAUGCGCAAAUAGGCCAAUCGUGUGUUAUCCUCGGGUUUCUGGUAGGCAACUAGGAAAAUCCGCGGCCUAAUCUGUCACCAAUAAGCUGAACGAGAGCCAGGGAUAUGGUAUAGUUCUCCAGGCAGACGACAAUCAAGGUUUGGUGAAAUCGCAGAUUCCGGCAGUGAAAAGAAUUUAAUGAACAUUGAAAAAAAGUGUCGUAAGAUGGUAUAGUUGUUAAUGAUAUGAAGAAAUUAGUGGAAAUGAUUUGAAGCAAAAGCCGAUGACGGCAAUUAUGAAAUUCCGCAAAGGGGCUUCGAUAUGUUUACAAAAAUCCCGGUUUAUCUUUAAUCAUUUUUUUAACUAAAAAAACAUUUAUUUGAAACAUGGCUUCCAAAAUGCAUUUAAUGCAUUGUGUCGAAAGAAUGAUUCUCCUUGAUUUGUAACUAUUGUUCGUAGUACUCUCGACUUAAACAUUGGAGCCUCCACCAAAGGACGCAUCACCGCCUGUUCCAUUGCAGCAAUUUCAUCCAAAUCGAAAUCUUCUUCCUCGUCAUCAAUGCUGAUGCAUUCGGUCAUUUGGGGCUUUUGAUUCUCUUUUUGACUGUUGCUUGCUUUCUCGCACAUAAGAUCAAUUUCCACGAAGAUAAUUCAUCGUCGUCUUCAUCACCCCAAAGAUUAUUUGAAGACUUUUUUUUCAUUAGGUCCAAUCUGCAAAUGAGAGCCCUCUUUUUUCGCUUUCUCUUUCCAUUAUUACCGCGAAACCACAAAACUUUUUAAACAUUUAUCGGUAUGUUU